CAAUCGAUGCUGCUCGGUCUGGAAAAGUUUUAUCUGAUUCUGGCACCGGUGAGUUAGUUAACCGAUACCUGUACUCAGAUAGGACAAUUUUUUUGAAACUGCUUAUUGUUCUGUUGAGAAAGUAAUCAGUUACAAGAAGUUUUAAGUUAUGUUGGUUUAUUAGUGUCUCAUAGAUAGGUGUCAUCUUUUGCUAUUGCUUUCUCCAAGGACUUGCUUUGCCAAAUAAUCUUUUGUUUGACAGAUGUCUUAUCAAACCAGAAAUCACUUGCUAUUGCCUCACCAAGUGAGCAACAGAAGUACAGGAAACCAUUUUCUGCAGAAGAUUAUGCUAGAGUAUCCACGUCACCAGAAGCAGGAGCAAAUGAGUCUUUAGCAUUAAAAACUAAGUAGGCGAUUUAUUAUUCACCCUUUUAGGAGGAAUUCCCUGACAAUAACGAAGAUUUAGAGCAACCAUCAUGAGGUUGUUGCAGAUUUAGUGCAGACAAGAUUUGUUGCUAGGAGAUCAUCGGUGCUAGCAAUGGACAUUAGAGGACAAAUAUUUGAGACUUUUAUGUAGUUAGAUGAUAUUGAAACAUUAAAGUUGUUGUUUUGUUUUAA